rnacentral:rRNA from 1 species
UGGUGGGGUGACUUGUCUGCUUAAUUGCGAUAACGAACGAGACCUUAACCUGCUAAAUAGCCCGCAUUGCUCCGGUAGUGCGCUGGCUUCUUAGAGGGACUUUCGGCUCAAGCCGAAGGAAGUUUGAGGCAAUAACA